CGCGCCUAACACAUGCAAGUCGAACGGUUAAGGCGCCCUUCGGGGCGCGAAUAGAGUGGCGAACGGCUGAGUAACACGUGGGCAACCUGCCCCCCGCACCGGGACAGCCUCGGGAAACCGUGGGUAAUACCGGGUACUCCGCCGCCCCCGCAUGGGGGAGGCGGGAGAGCGUAUGCGGCGGGGGAUGGGCCCGCGGCCUGUUAGCUAGUUGGCGGGGCAACGGCCCACCAAGGCGAUUAUGGGUAGCUGGGUUGAGAGACCGACCAGCCAGAUUGGGACUGAGACACGGCCCAGACUCCUACGGGAGGCAGCAGUGGGGAAUCUUGCGCAAUGGGGGCAACCCUGACGCAGCGACGCCGCGUGCGGGACGAAGGCCUUCGGGUCGUAAACCGCUUUCAGCAGGGACGAGGCCGUUAAGGUGACGGUACCUGCAGAAGAAGCCCCGGCUAACUACGUGCCAGCAGCCGCGGUAAUACGUAGGGGGCGAGCGUUAUCCGGAUUCAUUGGGCGUAAAGCGCUCGUAGGCUGCCCGCUAGGUCCGGGGUCAAAUCCGGGGGCUCAACCCCCGCACGCCCCGGAUACCGGCGGGCUUGAGUCGGGUAGGGGAAGGCGGAAUUCCAGGUGUAGCGGUGGAAUGCGCAGAUAUCUGGAAGAACACCGGUGGCGAAGGCGGCCUUCUGGGCCUCGACUGACGCUGAGGAGCGAAAGCUGGGGGAGCGAACAGGAUUAGAUACCCUGGUAGUCCCAGCCGUAAACGAUGGACGCUAGGUGUGGGGGGAGAUGCCCUCCGUGCCGCAGCCAACGCAUUAAGCGUCCCGCCUGGGGAGUACGGCCGCAAGGCUAAAACUCAAAGGAAUUGACG
rnacentral:rRNA from 1 species